UACGUAGGGGGCAAGCGUGGUCCGGAUUUAUUGGGCGUAAAGAGCGUGUAGGCGGUUUGGUAGGUCCGUUGUGAAAACUCGAGGCUCAACCUCGAGACGCCGGCGGAAACCAUCAGGCUAGAGUCCGGAAGAGGAGAGUGGAAUUCCUGGUGUAGCGGUGAAAUGCGCAGAUAUCAGGAAGAACACCCGUGGCUAAGGCGGCUCUCUAGUACGGUACUGACGCUGAGACGCGAAAGCGUGGGGAGCGAACAGG
rnacentral:rRNA from 1 species